rnacentral:lncRNA from 11 species
GCUCCGCCUACAGCACACGGCUGCCAAUCACGGUUGGGAGUACAGAAAGGACUCACCGGGUUGGCUGACCAGGUCAAGAAGGCGCCUCUUUCUAGGGUGGGAAAUCAAAUGCAGAAUGCCAUGGCUCAAUUCUAUGGAUCACUGGGAGUUGUAGUUUGAUAAGGCACCAACCUCGUCUGGCAGAGAAGUUUAUAGACCUUGCAAGACCACAACGCCCAUGAUUCCAUAGCAUUGAGCCAUAGCAGUUAAUGGGGUAUCAAACUGCAUUAAUCCUACAGUGUAGAUGCACCCCUUGGCAAUCAUGUUAUUACUGUACAGGUCAAACUGUGGCAUACACACCGAGAACUGGGAAGCCCUGGCCUUUGAGCACUCCAACUGGAGCCCAGCUGUGACCAGCAGUGCUGUGGAAUUUGAAGAGGUACGAAUGAAGGGCUUAAGGGAGAAACAUGCCAAGAGGAAGGCACAUCAAGCCAACCCUGACUGGGAUCUCCUUCCACCUGAAAAACCAAUGUCCUCACUGCAGAAGAACAUGCAGGUCAAGAAUAGGUCUCCAAGUCACCUACGUAUCCAUUGCCAAGACACUACACUUGGAGGACCAUCAUCUUCGGGCUACGUAAAAUGUAAAGAAAACACAUAGUGAUUCUUCUAUAUAUUUUUUCGUGUCAGGAGCAACUUGAGUCGCUUCUGGAGUGAGAGAAUUAGCUGUCUGCAAGAACGUUGCCCAGGGGACGGCCAGAUGUUUUGAUGUUUUUACCAUCCUUGUGGGAGGCUUCUCUCAUGUCCCCGCAUGGAACUGGAGCUGAUAGAGGGAGCUCAUCCGCGCUCUCCCCAGGUAGGAUUUGAACCUGGCAGCCUUCAGGUCAGCAACCCAACCUUCAAGUCACAAGGCUUUAGUCCACUACACCAUCGGAGGCUUCAUCCUUCUAUUAAAGAUGGUAUAUUAAUUUUCGAAAAAAGCAAUUCGGGAAGUGCUGGAGGCAGGAGGAGGUACUUUGGCAAAGCAAAAUAGCUGGGCAACAGCAUGAAAAAACAUGAAAUGUAAGAUGCAGCAGAUGUUCUGACUGGCGAAAGGGAAUGAACUCUGCUUUGGGAUCGGAGGCAGGCAGGAGUCUUCUUAAGAUGUGCUGAAUACAAACCUGCCCCCCCCCCCCCCCGAAAGGGAAUUGAUUUUGGCCCGACAGAUGUGCCAGCCUGACGUAUUUACUCCACCACUGCCUUCUGUGGAAGAGAGCUUUGAAGCUGUAGACAUCUGCUUUAAUAAACACAGCUUGGCAAAAACACCCUUUGGCCCUGGCUGAUGUAAAUCAGAAGCGCUUCUGAGGUUGGUAGGGCAGAUUGCUCUCUUGUUCAGCCAGACUUUCUCAUUUAUUGUAAACAUUUGUAUUACCUAAACUCAGAGCUUUCCAAACUGUGUGUUGCGACAUGUUACUGUGUCGGCUGCAGUGUGUAGGUGUGUCACAUGAAAGUAAUGAGAAACAACAAAAAUCUUGGAAAUGUAUGUUAUUGCAAAUCCUGGUGCCCCUGCUGGCAUAGCAGAUUAAACCGCUGAGCUGCUGAACUUACUGACCAAAAGGUCAGUAGUCAAAUCCGGGCAGCGGGCUGAGCUCCCUCUGUUAGCCCCAACUUCUGCCAACCUAGAAGUUUGAAAACAUGCAAAUGUGAGCAGAUCAAUAAGUUCUGCUCUGGUGGGAAGGUUACAGCGCUCCAUGCAGUCAUGCCGGCCACAUGACCUUGUAGAUGUCUAUGGACAACGCUGACUCUUCUGCUUAGAAAUGGAGAUGAGCACCAACCCCCAGAGUCGGAUACAAAUAGACUUAACAUCAGGGGAAAGCCUUUAUCUUAUCUUGCAAAUCAUAUUUUAAAAAUAUAAAUGAAAGGUUUUCAUGAUCUAAUACAUUCACGUAUCUGCAUACAUUUAGUUAUUUACAAUUUAUGUAUGUGUCUGUAUCUUUUACAAUGGGUUGGUUUACCUCUGAUUUGCUAGUAAAGCUGAAUAACUAUGUCAUGAAAAGAUGUAGUUAUUGUUAAUGGUUUUAAAUGUGUUGCUGUUUUAUAGAAAUGUUGUAAAUAAAUAAAUAAAUGCGUGUCUAAAAAGUGUGUCGCAAACAUUAAAUGUUUGGAAAGUUCUGUCUAAACACUUAAGAGCAGAAGUAAGGAAAACAUCAUACAGUUACAGAACUUUAAUGCCACUUUUAUUGCCACGGCUAGACCCUGAGGCAUCGUGAGAGUUGCGGUUUAGUGAGGUACUUGUAAGUUCCUGCCAGAUAGUUAUCAUCAGCUCCCCUGAAUUCUAAAGUAUAUUUCCUAAGAAUCUAACAGGUAUGGCCAUGAUAUUUAGUGACAUCAGACUUGUGUCAUAUGGAUAUACCAAAAGGUAAUGAGUGAGAAACCACAGUGAAGAAGACUCAGAAGCUGCAGUGCUGUCUUUAUAACAAAAAUCCUUUCACUUUAUAGUUGCUGUGUUGUAUAAAGGGAUAAGGGUAGGACAAUAGUUUGGUUGUCUGUCACUGCUGAACUAGGGUGACAAAAGCAAAAGCAAUACCCAGAAUACCGCUAUUAAGGCUUAUUCCGUGGCUCUGCGAGCAGCCAGGAAAGCUUUCACGACUGCCCGCAUAGCGUCUGCAGCCAACAGGC